UACGAAGGGAGCGAGCGUUGUUCGGAAUCACUGGGCUUAAAGCGUGCGUAGGCGGAUUAGUAAGUAAGAAGUGAAAUCCCAGGGCUUAACCCUGGAACUGCUUUUUAGACUGCUUGUCUGGAAUUCGGUAGAGGUUGGUGGAACUCCUAGUGUAGAGGUGAAAUUCGCAGAUAUUAGGAAGAACACCGGUGGCGAAGGCGACCAACUGGACCGAUAUUGACGCUGAGGCACGAAAGCGUGGGUAGCAAACAGG
rnacentral:rRNA from 1 species